CCUACGGGAGGCAGCAGUGGGGGAUAUUGCGCAAUGGGGGGAACCCUGAUGCAGCGACGCCGCGUGAGCGAUGGAGUACUUCGGUAUGUAAAGCUCUGUCAGCAGGGAAGAAAAUGACGGUACCUGACCAAGAAGCCCCGGCUAAAUACGUGCCAGCAGCCGCGGUAAUACGUAUGGGGCAAGCGUUAUCCGGAUUUACUGGGUGUAAAGGGAGCGUAGGCGGCAGGGCAAGUCUGGAGUGAAAUCCCAUGGCUUAACCAUGGAACUGCUUUGGAAACUGUGCAGCUAGAGUGCAGGAGAGGUAAGCGGAAUUCCUAGUGUAGCGGUGAAAUGCGUAGAUAUUAGGAGGAACACCAGUGGCGAAGGCGGCUUACUGGACUGUAACUGACGUUGAGGCUCGAAAGCGUGGGGAGCAAACAGGAUUAGAUACCCGUGUAGUC
rnacentral:rRNA from 1 species